rnacentral:rRNA from 1 species
AAAUUGAAGAGUUUGAUCAUGGCUCAGAUUGAACGCUGGCGGCAGGCCUAACACAUGCAAGUCGAGCGGUAGCACAGAGAGCUUGCUCUCGGGUGACGAGCGGCGGACGGGUGAGUAAUGUCGGAAACUGCCUGAUGGAGGGGGAUAACUACUGGAAACGGUAGCUAAUACCGCAUAACGUCGCAAGACCAAAGUGGGGGACCUUCGGGCCUCAUGCCAUCAGAUGUGCCCAGAUGGGAUUAGCUAGUAGGUGGGGUAACGGCUCACCUAGGCGACGAUCCCUAGCUGGUCUGAGAGGAUGACCAGCCACACUGGAACUGAGACACGGUCCAGACUCCUACGGGAGGCAGCAGUGGGGAAUAUUGCACAAUGGGCGCAAGCCUGAUGCAGCCAUGCCGCGUGUGUGAAGAAGGCCUUCGGGUUGUAAAGCACUUUCAGCGGGGAGGAAGGCGUUAAGGUUAAUAACCUUGGCGAUUGACGUUACCCGCAGAAGAAGCACCGGCUAACUCCGUGCCAGCAGCCGCGGUAAUACGGAGGGUGCAAGCGUUAAUCGGAAUUACUGGGCGUAAAGCGCACGCAGGCGGUCUGUCAAGUCGGAUGUGAAAUCCCCGGGCUCAACCUGGGAACUGCAUUCGAAACUGGCAGGCUAGAGUCUUGUAGAGGGGGGUAGAAUUCCAGGUGUAGCGGUGAAAUGCGUAGAGAUCUGGAGGAAUACCGGUGGCGAAGGCGGCCCCCUGGACAAAGACUGACGCUCAGGUGCGAAAGCGUGGGGAGCAAACAGGAUUAGAUACCCUGGUAGUCCACGCCGUAAACGAUGUCGAUUUGGAGGUUGUGCCCUUGAGGCGUGGCUUCCGGAGCUAACGCGUUAAAUCGACCGCCUGGGGAGUACGGCCGCAAGGUUAAAACUCAAAUGAAUUGACGGGGGCCCGCACAAGCGGUGGAGCAUGUGGUUUAAUUCGAUGCAACGCGAAGAACCUUACCUGGUCUUGACAUCCACAGAACUUUCCAGAGAUGGAUUGGUGCCUUCGGGAACUGUGAGACAGGUGCUGCAUGGCUGUCGUCAGCUCGUGUUGUGAAAUGUUGGGUUAAGUCCCGCAACGAGCGCAACCCUUAUCCUUUGUUGCCAGCGGUCCGGCCGGGAACUCAAAGGAGACUGCCAGUGAUAAACUGGAGGAAGGUGGGGAUGACGUCAAGUCAUCAUGGCCCUUACGACCAGGGCUACACACGUGCUACAAUGGCAUAUACAAAGAGAAGCGACCUCGCGAGAGCAAGCGGACCUCAUAAAGUAUGUCGUAGUCCGGAUUGGAGUCUGCAACUCGACUCCAUGAAGUCGGAAUCGCUAGUAAUCGUAGAUCAGAAUGCUACGGUGAAUACGUUCCCGGGCCUUGUACACACCGCCCGUCACACCAUGGGAGUGGGUUGCAAAAGAAGUAGGUAGCUUAACCUUCGGGAGGGCGCUUACCACUUUGUGAUUCAUGACUGGGGUGAAGUCGUAACAAGGUAACCGUAGGGGAACCUGCGGUUGGAUCACCUCCUUACCUUAAAGAA